UACGUAGGGGGCAAGCGUUGUCCGGAAUUAUUGGGCGUAAAGAGCGUGUAGGCGGUCCGGUAAGUCGGCUGUGAAAGUCCAGGGCUCAACCCUGGGAUGCCGGUCGAUACUGCCGGGCUAGAGUUCGGAAGAGGCGAGUGGAAUUCCCGGUGUAGCGGUGAAAUGCGCAGAUAUCGGGAGGAACACCUAUGGCGAAGGCAGCUCGCUGGGACGUUACUGACGCUGAGACGCGAAAGCGUGGGGAGCAAACAGG
rnacentral:rRNA from 1 species